rnacentral:misc_RNA from 1 species
GCAAAUAAUGCAGGUCAGUGUUGCUAUAUAUAUAGAAUCCUAUGGAGAAAAUGAUUAACUACAAAAGAGAAGUGACAUUACUUAUCAAUUCACUUCCUCUGAAAGCUUAGCAUGCCAAAGAAAGCAAUAAUUCGACUACCUAAACCUAUGAGGAGGAGAAUGCACAAACAUAGACUCCAAUCAUGAAGACUGUAUCCCCAGUUCAUUA